AGGGGUUUAGUUUAAUCUGAAAACGUCAGACUGUAAAUCUGGAAAUUUUAAUCCUUG
rnacentral:tRNA from 1 species